UACGUAGGGACCAAGCGUUGUUCGGAUUUACUGGGCGUAAAGGGCGCGUAGGCGGCGUGGUAAGUCACUUGUGAAAUCUCUGAGCUUAACUCAGAACGGCCAAGUGAUACUGCUGUGCUAGAGUGCAGAAGGGGCAAUCGGAAUUCUUGGUGUAGCGGUGAAAUGCGUAGAUAUCAAGAGGAACACCUGAGGUGAAGACGGGUUGCUGGGCUGACACUGACGCUGAGGAGCGAAAGUGUGGGGAGCGAACAGG
rnacentral:rRNA from 1 species